CCGGCUACAUUACCCGGUGAUCAUCUGUUACUCAGGAGAUGACGACGAGGGUGAUGGGGGUAACAUCACCGCUCAAGGGUGACAUAUAGUGACGAUGGUGACGGUAGUUCGCCGGUGGUCAGCAGCCACAUCUUUGAGUGACGACUAGGGUUCCGAAGAACGAACCGGGUGAUGUGAUGGGGUAACGACUUCAGUCAAGGUAAGGUAACGGAGGAUCGAAGGUGGUAUACGAAGUGUCAUCCGCAUUUUCCGCCUGCUCUUCUCCUCUACUCCUCCGGCAAGGGACUCCUUAUCACUUUUCGAGGUGCGGUUGCUCUAUUCCCUGCUAUUUCUCUCAACUGGUAUGUUUUUUUUCUUUUGUCUUUAUCUGAUUUAGAGCUUCAUACGUCUUUAAUAAUUGGAUGGUUAUAAAAAAGUUUCAUGCAAAUAUAUGUAUUGAAUAUGGUUAUAUGCAAUUCAUUUAACUGUUUUAUGUAUUUUGGAAUGUUACUUUGAUGAGCAAUUACGGACCAUCUGAAAGAUAAAGAAAGGGUUCCGGCCACGAUUCUGACCGGAUGUCGCUUAUAUGGAGAUAGUCGUGCACGAUUAGUUGGUUUGUUUAUUUAAAUACUCAUAUACAUCUCGCCUCUGAUUGGGUUCAGAUCUUUUUUAUUCGUGUCAUAGGUCUGAUUGCAAGGGUUUUUUCUUUUCGUAUUCUGAUUUGGUUCAGGUGCAUUGCCUCCAUUUCAGUUCAGCUAUUUGAGAAAUAGGAAAUCAUUAUCUGAGUUUUGGCGGGAUUGUCCUAUUCUGGCUGAUAAUUCAAAGGAGCAUAAUUGCAUGCCUUAUGAACAUUAUACCGCAACAUUACUUGCACAAAAAGGCCUUGAAGGAGAACCCACAAAUAGGAGUUUAACUCACACUUCAUGGGUAUCUCAUCAAGCAAAGGUCGUGAAAGGCAAGGAUGGCAUCCUAUGACGGCCAAAUCUACAAAUUUGUUGUUGCUACUCCCAUUAUUCAUUCAAUGGUCUCAUUCACACUUGAUCACAAUAAGGUGGUUCAUGACGAGUGCCCACCUACCGAAUAAAAGAAGCAAGUUAGUACACAGAGUCUUCCCUCGCCCAAUUAACCUGCUUUGCUUCGCUCGCUUCCAUUUUGUUUCUAUACUUUAUUGGUCUUAUAAUACAUUUUGUUUAUAUUCAUGGUAGUUGUUGAUAUUUUUACUUAGCGUUAAAGUUUAUGUAUAAGAAAUCUAUGAUGUUAAUAAUGGCAGACUGGUUGUAAUCUA